ensembl:lncRNA
ACCCAGGCGUGGCCCCGCCCCUCAGCAUUAUUACUACAUCCGCUAGAUGAAUGAAGAGACCUUCAAAGACUUACAGAAGAGACAGGAUAAAAGGAUCUUGGGUCCCUGAGUGACUGUGUGGAGUAGAGACCAUCCACUGACCUGCACUUCAAUGUCAGGUGAGAAACUCUGUGAGGUAAAUCAUUCGAAUUUGGGAGUUGUUGGUUUUAGCAGUUUUCACACCCUGUUAUUUCUCAUUGAAUAAUUCGUUGUGAUAAUUAUUAUCUCUGAUUUGGACCCUGUUUAUCUGCUGCUGUUCCCAAGAGACUGAACAGUGUUGAAGAAAUUAUUUAACCCUAUUGAAUAAUGCCUCAAUUGGGCUCCCACUGUUACCACGGAAUCCUUCUGAGUCAUGUGGUCUGAGUCAUGAGUGAUUCUCGUUCCUUUCUUGGCCCAUUUUAAAGAUUCAUCUUUCUCCUUAGGCUCUUCCUACUCUCAGCAGAUGAAUUAACCAUCUUGUCUUUAGUUAAGUACUUUUGCAAGAAUUAUGUCUGUUUUUUUGAUUGUUCUUUUCUUACUAGUUUAAGUAGUUCUUUAUGUAUUAGAGAUGUUAAGAGCAUUAUGGAUAUGAUAUAAAAUGACUAAAAUUUUAAAAUACCAACUAUACCAAAAGUUGAUGAAGAUGUGGAAAAACUAGACCCCUCAGAUACUCUCAGUGGGAAUGUAGACUGGUACAAAACCUUAUAAAAACUGUUUGGUGGUUUUUCUUUCUUUCUUUCUUUCUUAAGUUUAGCAUUCAUCUGUUAUAUAAGCCAACUAUUCUACCCCUAGGUAGUUACCCAAGGGUCAAAGAGGAAAUCCCCAGUACUGUUAUUGCCGAGAAGAGGCCUUCCACUGAGGAUUUUCUGUGGCUUGUGGUGGGGAGUGAAACAUAAACACUUUUCUCUGUUUUUCCCUUGAAAUCUUUAGUAAGGUCUAUGUCAGUCACUGAUUAUUGUGCUUAAGUUGUUUUUUAUGAAAAACUACUGAUAAUUUUUUUUUUUUUUUGCUUUUUAGGGCCACCCCCACAGCAUGUGGAGGUUCCCAGGGUAGGGAUCCAAUUGGAGGUACAGCUGCCGGCCUCUACCACAGCUAUAGUAACACAGGAUCCAAGCCAUAUCUGUGAACUACACCACAGCUCACGGCAAUACCAGAUCCUUAACCCACUGAGUGAGGUCAGAGAUUGAACCCACAACCUCAUGGCUCCUAGUUGGAUUUGUUUCCACUGUGCCAAGAUAGGAACUCCAAGACUACUGAUCAUUGGGUUAGGUUAGCAAUACCUACUUAUCCCUCACCUUGGUCCAAGUACUACCUUAUGUGCAUCUACGAGUUAUCAUGUCCAAAUCUUGCAAUCAUCUUGAAUAAUAAUUAUUAUUCCCCUUUUAGAGAUUAAAAAUGUACUUUACACUAAAACCAAAAUAAAACAAAUAACAACAGAAAACUUGCUAAGAAUAACACACCGGAAGAUCGCAACACUUGCCAUCUACCCUCCAAUUAAAGUUAUGACUGCUUAUUUUUAUCUCAAUUUUUGAUCUUCAGUCUCAAGUUAAGUAUUAGUGAGAACUUAACUAGAGUUCUCUUGGUGUAGUGGCCUAAAGAUCUGGUGUUGUCACUGCAGUGGCUUGGGUCACUGCUGUGGCAUGGGUUUGAUUCCUGAUCCAGGAACUUCCACAUGCCAUGUGCAUGGCCAAAAAGAAGAGAGGGAGGGAGGAAGAGAGAGAGGGAAUUUACUAUUGGCUAGGCCUGAGGUAAAAAAUAAGAAAAGUCAGGGGAGAAGGGAACUAAGAUACAGUGUCUACACUUCAUGCUUUAGAGAAGAUGGAGCAUAAAAAACAUACUCCCUGGGAUGUCUAUAGUGAACUUUAAGACAGAGUCCAAAGAAAUACUGAAGAAGCGUAUUGAUGAUGUGAGAGAAGAGUCUGUCCAGAGGAAAUGAUGCUUGAGCUGAGUCUUCAGAUUUAUGCACUUGUAGAAGAAAGGUAGGGCGGGACUAGAUGGUACAGUGGUGUUGACAUAAGGAAGUGCAGGUAAUUCAGCACGGCAGAAGCACAGAGCAGACAUCAGUGCGUGUGGCCCAGAGCUGAGGUCGGGUGUGACGGACGACAAGAGGGUGCAAGCUCCUGAGAAACUACUCUCAUGUCUAGCAACUAAUGGACCUCAAAUUGGACUUUACCCACAGGAAAUUUGCAACCAUUUUUCCCUACUUAGAUGUGAUAUGGAACUCAGUACUCUGGUUUUCAUUUCUUUUUAAUAUGCUUACAGUCAUUUUUACUGAAGAACAAAUGAUUUCAUGGGGCAGGACUUCUUAGGUGGAAAAGGAUUGGUGAGCUAAUCUGAUUUCAUCCACAAUUUUACAUGUUUUUUAAGGUGAUUUGAUCACUUUCUCCAGGGAUGAGUAGCCCUUGAGGGCCUAGAGGACCACCUCACACUAAAAAUAUUUAACUAUUGAACAAACAAAUUAAAUGACAGUUUAUUCACUUAUAACACAGGAAUGCCUCUCCAUUGGCCAGAAUACAAAAUCUGGACAUGCUGAGUAAGAGCAAUAUCAUUUAGUGAAGAACUACUCCAGGAGUUCCCAUCGUGGCUCAGUGGUUAACAAAUCUGACUAGGAACCAGUUGGGGGUUCGAUCCCUGCCCUUGCUCAGUGGGUUAAGGAUCCGGCUUUGCCGUGAGCUGUGGUGUAGGUCACAGACACGGCUCAGAUCUGGCGUUGCUGUGGCUCUGGCAUAGGCCGGUGGCUACGGCUCCCAUUAGACCCCUAGCCUGGGAACCUCCAUAUGCCGCGGGAGCAGCCCUAGAAAGGGCAAAAAGACAAAAAAACAAAAAAAGAACUACCCCAUAUUGGCAGUGGAUACUUCCUUGUAUUAUUUCAAUUAGUUGUCACCACAAUUCUGUAAUGUAGUUCUUACUUUACCCCAAUUUUAUAGAUAACGAAUUCAAAUGAGAAACCUUAAAUGAUCUAUUUUGAUCUCAUAGGUAAUAAGAUUUGGAGCUAAGACUCAAAUCUAGUGCUUUGAUUUCUUUGCCAUGCAAUGGGCAGAGUAUACCCAUGCUAGCUGGGAAAAAAUUAUGGUGAUGGUGAUUUAAUCAAAAUAAUUAUAGUUUAUUAGAUGCUUACUUUGUACCAAAUACUUUCACAUGCAUUAUCUUCCAAGUUAGUCUUUUUUAAAAAUUAAAACAAAAAAAGUUUAUGGCUGCACCUGAGCCUCAGCUGCAACCUCUGUGACAGUGCUGGAUCUUUUAACCCACUGGGCUGGGCCAGGGAUUGAAGCUGCACCUCCUGGUGACCUGAGCCUCUGCAGUCAGAUUCCUAACCCACUGUGCCACAGCAGGACCUCACAUGUGUUAUCGUGUGUAACUGUAACAAUUCUAUUUGAGAAUUCUGUUUUCUAAUUGAGAAAAGAUUUCUAUUUUAGCAAUGAGGAAACUGAUGUUCAGAAAGUUUAAAUAAUUUUUCCAGCCUGCAAAGCUGGUUAAUUGGUGGGGCAGAUAAUUCAAACCAGGUUUCUCUGACCACAAAGCGCUUUUUACAGCUAGUCAAAUAAUGAUAAGAAUACUUAAUGAAUGGAAGUCAAAAUGGAGAGAAUUUGUUAGUUGACAGAAUAUUCCAUUUAGAGUGUGGUAAAGGAUAGAAAACCACUGAAGUUUUCUCAGUAGGGUCUGAUCAUGUCUCUUCAUAGUUCAAUGCGAUGACAUUGAAUAUUUACUACUAUUAUUUUUAUUUUUACUAAUAAUUCUUAUUAGUCACAAAAAAUUUGUGUCGCUGUCUUUAUUCAUGAUAGAUAGUAUACAUUAGAACGUUCAGUUUAUGUUGUCUCACCUUUUUCUGAGGAUUAAUUUUAGGAAUAAAAAAGGACAUGAAGUGUCACAGAUCUGAGAAAAAAAUAUAAUUAUUUUUAGAUAAGAUACUUGAGCAAUCUUUCUUUACUAGUUGGUUGUGUAUCUGAUUAACUUCCAGGUCAGUGAAAUUAGAAUUUAGCCUGCAAAAUGGAUCUAUACAUCAUAGUUUUGCAAAUUUAAACUUGUAACAAUCUUGGAGCUGGAUCAAUAAACUUUAACAGAUGUUCCUCUCUGCACCUAGGCCAACUGUCUUAUCAAGACAGUGGUUUUGCUUUGUUUGUUUUGUUUUUAUAAAGAUUUUGUUUGUGGAAGCAAGAUUUGACCAGGCUUUCUUUGAAGUUAGUACCCUUGUGGCAAGUUUGAAAUAAACUUAGACCUUUGCUCAAAAAAAUCAAUGCAUCUGAAAACUUUCCUUUAACAUUCCUUUGUCUCUUAAAUCUGGGCUCCUCGAGGAGAGGUUUGUUUCUUUUCACUGUAGCCCAGUCAUCUAGUAUGAGAUUGGGUACAAAUGAAGGGCUUUCUAGAUGUCAGUUGAAUAAAUGAAUAUUUGAAAGAAUUUACCAACUAUGGACUUUGUUUCACUUUCACCUUGUUUACUUCUUUGGAAAGAUACCCCCAGCGAGAUUUUUCAUCUUUUUAUUUUAUUCCUUUGCAAAAAAGGUUCUCUAGGGACCUCUUCACUGGAUCUCUCUCAGUCAUGUCCUUUCCUGCCUGGCUUGGAAUUUUUUUGGCUCUGGAUUUCCUCACCAGUCUGGGCUACACCCUCACUGCCCCCCUCCCCUCCUUAAGUCACAUCAUAUUUGAGGACAGAAUUUCCAAACCACCUUCUCCUAGGCAUGUUUUUCCCCCUUUAAACUUGAAAAAGAGGAGAAAAGUUAGGCAACUUAGACAAUAUUUCAAACAAAAGAGAAGUAGUGGAAGGUUGAGAAAAGGUCAGUACGGUUAGUUAGUGAGAAGAGUCUGACUCAUUUAAAAAAAACAAACCACAGUAACUGACAAAAAACCUAUCAGACAGAAAAUCAUGAGAAGGUUUUGAGUGGCUGGCUAAGGCAAUACCAAAGCUCUAAGUGUUGAGAAUGGGAAGUUAAUCAGAAAAGACUACUUAGGAGGUGGAGAAAUUUUCAUGGCUCCCAGAGGGAGGUCUGUGCCUGGCUUUGCCCUGGCUGGCUAUGUGACUUUUCUGUGCAAAUGACCCUCAUUUUCUAAAUAAGGAUAUUGGACCAAAUGAUGUAUAAGAUCUUUUCCAAUUCUAACAUUUUAUGGAGGACUAGACUUUUCUAACAGAUUAAAUGGAUUCUUAUGUUUUAAGUCUCAUAUUUAUAUUUAGUCUCAUAUAAUUUGAUUCCUUUUUAUAAUUUCUUCAUUAUUUAAUCCACGUUAUUGAGUGGCUGCCUACUAUUUGAACAGCAUUUUAGGCAGCAAGCUGGGUGAGAUAAAAAUCACUGCCGUCUACCACCUUAUAGGUUUGGGUGGCCGUAGCUUUACAAACAGCAAAAAGGCAAUUGGAGCCGAAGCAAUGGCUGAGGGAGGCGGGGAGGGAGGAAUGGAGGUGACAUGAAAAAGACAAGGGCAAGAGAACACAUUUUAUAAUUUCCUAAAAUACAGAUAAGGCUGCCACUUAAAAAAAACAAACAGUAAAAUUGGUUAUGAUUUUUACAUUUAAUCCUUUGUUUUCUGAGGAUGCUUAGUGCUGACCGUGUGAUUGUGGCUACUCAGAGGUUUAAUGCGGGAUUCACUGGACUUUCCACACCACCUAUAAAGAGGGUGGUUGAUUUUUAGUUUUAUUGGUGUGUCACUACCUAGCCUGGUCUAUAGAUUUGUGUUAACUGUGCAAUAGCUGCUUGUAGAUCUUAGCGGUUGCUCAGUGAUUCCUCAUAAAGCUUGAUGCUGACAUGAAAAUUCAAAUUACAGAUGGCAAUCCAGAGAAUAAAAGAGCCUAGAAAUGGCUGGGGGCCUGCAAGUGGGCAUAAAUGUGUGAAGCAGUGGACACAUCACACCAGCUAGUGGUUUGGUUAGCAUUUAGCCAGAAAGAGAUACCCCACCCCCAAAUGUUCAAAUUUUUCUUUCUCUGUCCAUCUGCCCCGUUUGCAUUGUAUGCCUGAAAACAGCACAGUCUAAGUCUCAGUUUGAAAUCUCUAGGAGUUCCCAUUGUGGCUCAGCAGGUUACAAACCCGACUAGUACCCACAAGGAUGUGGGUUUGAUCCCUGGCCUCCCUCAGUGGGUUAAGGAUCCUCUGUUGCUGUGAGCUGUGGUGUAUGUUGCAGAUUUAGCUUAGAUCCCAUGUUGCUGUGGUUGUAGCAGAGGCCAGUAGCUGCAGGUCUGAUUCAACCCCUAGCCUGGGAAUUUACAUAUGCCAUAUGUGCAGCCCUAAAAAGUGAAAGAAAGAAAGAAAGAAAGGUAGGAAGGAAGGAAGAAACCAACCUCUAAUAGCUUAAAGACUUCUCCCUUGCAUUGUGACUUUUGAUCUCCAAUGCCUGGCCCAGUGCCUGGUAGUAUUUAACUAAGGAAACCAUUUUUGUUGUCAUUGUUCCUUGCUUGUUUUUAUUCUCCCUUUUUGGACAAAGCUAUUUAAGUUGGUCAAAUGUUAAAUUUUAUUAGGAUGUUUAUUAGAAACAAUCCUGGGGGUAUUCCCGUCGUGGCGCAGUGGUUAACGAAUCCGACUAGGAACCAUGAGGUUGCGGGUUCAGUCCCUGCCCUUGCUCAGUGGGUUAAGGAUCCGGCGUUGCCGUGAGCUGUGGUCUAGGUUGCAGACGCGGCUCAGAUCCCACGUUGCUGUGGCUCUGGCAUAGGCCGGAGACUACAGCUCCGAUUCGAUCCCUAGCCUGGGAACCUCCAUAUGCCGCGGCAGCGGCCCAAGAAAUAGCAAAAAGACAAAAAAAAAAAAAGAAACAAUGCUGGGGAUUUAGAGCUAAAUAUAUGUAACUAGGAGUUCC